ACCUCUUUGGAAAGUUAUUGUUGCAAAGUGAAUUUGGACAUGCCCAUCACCUAUGAUGUCAUAUUUCAAUUCCACUUUUAGAUAACAGCAAAAUGACUUCUUGUUCAGCUCUAAGGAAUAAGCAAGUGUUCUCACAGUGGCAACCUAGAAACUACCCAUUCUUUUCAUCAGGAGCAGAAUGGAUGGAUUGUGACAUAUUUUGAGUAUGAAAAAAUAGAAAUUGCCUAAAUAAAUGGUCACCAGCAAUCAUCUAUGGAAGGACUAGGGAACCACAGAGCAGGAGGGUACAGUUGACGGGGCAGGGGCAGGGGGGCAGGGGCAGGGGAAGUCUUUAUUUCCUUAUUUCUGUGUUCACAUAGCAGUUAUAUUGUGUUAGGUAUUGCACACUAAAAAGAGAACACUGAAAAGACUACUUUGGGAAAAGAUAGUAUGAAUGGAUUUGCGCAAAAAUGUAAAGAAAAGAAAAUAAAGAGACCGUUUUUUAGAAAUAAACCUCUAGUAAAACAAUACAAGAAUAAAUGAAAGGACUGAUAUAAACUUCAAACUGAGGUGCUGGGGAGAUGGCUGAACUGGCUAUACUUGCUGCUCAAUAGUGAUGGACAGAGCUCAGUUCCAGCAUGUACAACAGUUUAUAACCACCUGUAAGUCCACCUCCAAGGUAUCCAAUGCCCUCUUCUGGCCUUUGCUGAUACCUGGACAUAUGUGUGUACAUGCAUAUAGGCACUCAUAGACACAUACAUAAGGUAAAAUUAAAAAAACGUUUUUCCCCAAGUUACCUAAAGAGAGGAGGUAAUAUUGGUAGUAUGGUAAAAUGUGAAACUUACUGAGACCUCUUGUGUACAAAAACACAGUUUUUAAAGUUUAGUAAUAGAGACACAUUACUUAACUGUAAAUAGACAAAUUGAUUUUAUCUACACCAUCAUUAAAAUGAAAUAUCAGUGUCUUAGAAAAAUCUUCAUCAGAAUAAGAAAUUUCUUAUCUACAAUGUCCACUGUAACAUGAUUCAUCACUGAUGUGUGGAAUCUAGCUAUGUGCACAUCAAGUGAUGGACAAAGAAGACGGUGCACAGCCUAGCACAGGAGCCUGAGGCAGAAGGACCAGCCUGGAAGCAAGACCAAGAAUUGAGGGAGGAGAAAGAACAUGAAGUUAGAAGUUUAUAUAUACAUAAUAUUAUAUAUAUACUCUAUCUAUCUAUCUAUCUAUCUAUCUAUCUAUCUAUCUAUCUAUCUAUCCUCAUAUA
rnacentral:lncRNA from 1 species